CCAAUAGCGUAUAUUAAAGUUGUUGCAGUUAAAAAGCUCGUAGUUGAAUUUCGGGAUUAGUGCGCCGGUCGUGCCUUCGGUAUGUACUGGUGUUACUGAUUCCUACCUUCUGACGAACCGUCAUGUCAUUAAUUUGGUGUGGCGGGGAAUCAGGACUGUUACUUUGAAAAAAUUAGAGUGUUUAAAGCAGGCUCGCGCUUGAAUACAUUAGCAUGGAAUAAUGAAAUAGGACGUUCGAUCCUAUUUUGUUGGUUUCUAGGAUUGACGUAAUGAUUAAUAGGGAUAGUUGGGGGCAUUAGUAUUCAAUUGUCAGAGGUGAAAUUCUUGGAUUUAUUGAAGACUAACUACUGCGAAAGCAUUUGCCAAGGAUGUUUUCAUUAAUCAAGAACGAAAGUUAGGGGAUCGAAGACGAUCAGAUACCGUCGUAGUCUUAACCAUAAACUAUGCCGACUAGGGAUCGGAUGAUGUUAUUUUUAAUGACUCAUUCGGCGCCUUACG
rnacentral:rRNA from 1 species